UACGGAGGAUGCAAGCGUUAUCCGGAUUUAUUGGGUUUAAAGGGUGCGCAGGUUGUUUGAUAAGUCAGUGGUGAAAGUCUGUCGCUUAACGGUAGGAUUGCCAUUGAUACUGCUGGACUUGAAUAUGGAUGAGGUAGGCGGAAUGUGUAGUGUAGCGGUGAAAUGCAUAGAUAUUACACAGAACACCGAUUGCGAAGGCAGCUUACUAAUCCAUCAUUGACGCUGAGGCACGAAAGCGUGGGGAUCAAACA
rnacentral:rRNA from 1 species